rnacentral:rRNA from 1 species
GACGAACGCUGGCGGCGUGCCUAAUACAUGCAAGUUGAGCGCUGAAGGUUGGUACUUGUACCAACUGGAUGAGCAGCGCACGGGUGAGUAACGCGUGGGGAAUCUGCCUUUGAGCGGGGGACAACAUUUGGAAACGAAUGCUAAUACCGCAUAAAAACUUUAAACACAAGUUUUAAGUUUGAAAGAUGCCAUUGCAUCACUCAAAGAUGAUCCCGCGUUGUAUUAGCUAGUUGGUGAGGUAAAGGCUCACCAAGGCGAUGAUACAUAGCCGACCUGAGAGGGUGAUCGGCCACAUUGGGACGGAGACACGGCACAAACGCAUACGGGAGGCAGCAGGAGGGAAUCGUCGGCAAUGGACGAAAGUCUGACCGAGCAACGCCGCGUGAGUGAAGAAGGGUGUCGGAUCGUAAAACUCGGUUGGUAGAGAAGAACGUUGGUGAGAGUGGAAAGAUCAUCAAGUGACGGUAACUACCCAGAAAGGGACGGCUAACUACGUG